AGAGUUUGAUCCUGGCUCAGAUCGAACGCUGGCGGCGUGGCUAAGACAUGCAAGUCGCACGAGAAAGUUCCUUCGGGAACGAGUAGAGUGGCGAAAGGGUGAGGAAUACAUGGAUAACGUACCCCAGGCACAGGGAUAGCCGUGGGAAACCGCGGGUAAUACCUGACACCGUCAUGAUGCUGCAGGGCAUCUUGAUGAAAGGUGGGGACCUUCGGGCCUAUCGGCCUGGGAGCGGUCCAUGUCCUAUCAGCUUGUUGGUGAGGUAACGGCUCACCAAGGCAACGACGGGUACCGGGACUGAGAGGUUGACCCGGCACAUUGGGACUGAGACACUGCCCAGACUCCUACGGGAGGCUGCAGUAACGAAUAUUGCACAAUGGGCGCAAGCCUGAUGCAGCGACGCCGCGUGUGGGAGUAAGCCCUUCGGGGUGUAAACCACUGUCAGGGACUACCAAGCAAUGGAGGUGAAUAAUCUCCUGCGUUGAGGCGUCCCAGAGGAAGUCACGGCUAACUUCGUGCCAGCAGCCGCGGUAAUACGAAGGUGGCAAGCGUUGUUCGGAAUCACUGGGCUUAAAGAGCACGUAGGCGGACUGUCAAGCGUCUUGUGAAAUCCCUCGGCUUAACCGAGGAAUUGCUGGGCGAACUGACAGUCUUGAGGCAAGUAGGGGCGCACGGAACUCUUGGUGGAGCGGUGGAAUGCGUAGAUAUCAAGAGGAACGCCAGAGGCGAAAGCGGUGCGCUGGGCUUGACCUGACGCUGAGUGCGAAAGCCAGGGGAGCGAACGGGAUUAGAUACCCCGGUAGUCCUGGCCAUAAACGAUGUCUACUAGAUCUGAGU
rnacentral:rRNA from 1 species